rnacentral:lncRNA from 1 species
GCCCAUUUAAAUCACCACUAAAUCAUGGUACUGGCUAACAAAUUGCUCAAUAACCUUGAUAACUAACUCCUGAUUGGUUAACAGAUUGACUCCUCCCAGCCGUGUGUCCACUCUGCUGAGAGUGUCUGAUUUUUAUGAUUGAAGCUCUCCUAAUUAUCAAUAAUUUGCUUUCUGGAUGAAGUCGCAUUAACAGGCCUCCUAAAAAGUUUCUGAACUGCAUCCAGGUGGUUGAAAUAAUCUCAGCCAAUUUUUUAUUUUUGCUGCUCUUGUGUCCUGCUUCAGAAAUGUUUUAGAAUCCCACAUAUUUAGAAUGUGAAUGCAUUAGAAACUUCUUUAAAGCGUAUUCCAGUCUAAGCUAGGCAUUUCCUAGUAUUAAAUUGCCUAAUUGGAAGGGAGUUGUCUGUCAAGAGCAGCAGCAGCAGCAGCUGAGUAGCUCCUCUGGGGACCUACCAAAGUCUCCCCUUUGGGGACUACUUUGGGGAUUGCGGGCCAUGUGAUUUGCGGGGUUUUUCUUUGUUUUUGGCGAAGCUUCUUUAGACAGGUCUCCCCCCAUCUGAAGGCGAAGGGGAACGCUGGGACUCCUUUGGGCAUUGUAGGUCAAUACCAAAGAGGUUUUUGUUGUUUUUUAUUUGCCUCAGGCGAACCUGGGCUUUUUUUAAUGGAUAGAUGUGAGGCAAGGCCAGUCCUGGGUCAGAGGUGUGGGGGGGGGCUGAGCCUUUUUCCCUGGCUGCUGGUGGUGUAUCCCUUAAUGUGCCUUUGGAGCCCGAAGCCCAAUUGCAGAGAGUGGCAAAGGCAAGGGGUCCAGCUGAAGGGUAGGGGUGGGGGACGGAGGUCUGUGGACGAGCUACGCAGGCGCAGAUUGAAAGGCAGGCCAGGGGGCUUGGAGCGCAUGCGCAGAGUACAAGGCAGGCCAGGGGGCUUGGAGCGCAGGUGCAGGCGCAGGCAGGCAGAGGGGGAAGGGAGCGGAAAGUUCCCGCCUUUUCUGUCAGAGCCUCCCUGUGUCACUGUGCCUAGCAUUCAGCUGGGCCAAGGCAAAGGACGGGAAGUUGCCUGUGGAGGGUGUGAGGUAGGGGAGCAGCACUGGUCACAUCAGGCACCCCUGCCGAGAGGAGGAGGCAUUGGGAGUGGCUGCUGCCGCGCGGCCCGCCUCCUGUGUCUUCCUCUGGGUUCUUCAGUAGUCCCGCCUGCUGCGUGUACUGGUCAGCUCCGUGGGCAGGCCUGCCCCUGAAAGCUGCCCCCUCCCUCUCAAUUUCCCACCUCCCACACUGCCCCUCCUCUCUGUGGGGACACCCACCAGAAAGUCCCCUCCUUCAGUAGCCCCACUCCCAUGUCCCCAACUUCCUCAGGUGCUCAGCUCCCCCUCCCCCACCCCCUUCACCUCUCGGUCUCCCUCUUGAGGCCACGUAUUGGUACUGCAUCCCAGGAGGGGUUUUAUUUGUAAUGGGUUUGAAAUAAGCUUUUAGAGCUCUGUGCAAGUCUCCUCUUGGACCCCAAGCCACGUACACAUCCUGACGUCAUAGGCCUAAAUAUGAGUGGACCUUGGCCUUGCAGGGAUGAGAAAGCUGUCCCUUUUUUAAGCCAAGAUGCCUGUCACAUAGACAUAUGGUUGCAGGGUUGGUACCAGGGCGACCUGUGAAUGAGGGUGUCUGUAACCUGGUAGUGGUGGUCACAAAAAGGGAUUUUUCCUUUGUGGGAUGGGACCCGAGAAGAAGGAGCAGGGAGUCUGAGAAUAUGGGUGAAGAAUGACAGACUGAGACAAGUCAAAGUAAUAGAUAGGGCAGACGGGAUCCCCUAUGGUAUUUUCCUUGGUGAAAGAAUUAAAGGAAAAUAUGUGAAGCUUGCAGACACGUGGAAGCACGGAUUCCGUGAUAGAAAGCAUGUGGCCAUGAGAGGCCUUAGUAAAGAGACAGUAGUGAAGCUUUAAGAUUGCUUGAACAAGAGAGGGAAUCACGCCUUUACCGCAGGCUUUCUUGGGGAUAGCCAGGAUCAAUUACCAGGUAACAAAGCAUAGAUAAUUCAUAUUGGAUGGGAAGGUAAUGAUGACACCUUUUGGGUGUGUUGACCUCAACCGGCCCUUUUACUGAGGAAUUCGAGUCCGCACCGAAUGUUAAUGAGUUUGCAUAUGUCAG